UCAAUGGGUCGGUGGCCAUCGCUAUCGUGUCACCACUGCUGCCAUGACCACCGUAGCAUUUGCAACGGCGGCGGACUUUACGGCAGCUUCCGUGAACACGGACAGAGCGGCUACACUGUGCAGGGCAGGUUGGGCCAGGACAGGAGCACAAAGGGCAGGGUGACCUUGGCCAGGUGUCAAUCAACAGGGCGCGGAGGUGGUGUCGGUGGCGGUGGCGAUACACACUCCUAGGGAUUCCUAGAGAGGUGGCGUAUAUCGUAUAAGCAGCAAGCUCAACGUCAUGCAGGACAGCGCCUCCUUACCCGCGC
rnacentral:lncRNA from 1 species